AUAUAAGACAGACAAAAUUGUUAAAUUCAUUAUUUCUGGAGUAACUUCGUAUUUUAAAAGUCUUCCAGCAGAUUUAUACAAAUCUUCCAUUAUGAACAAGUUAAUGUUGGUGUUACUCCUGGUGAGUUGUGUCACCUUGGUUAUCGUUCCUGAGGUUGCUGAAGCUCAGGGCGGUGGACGGUGUAAAUGUAGAUCUAGAUGUUACCCUGGAGAAUACCCACGCGGGCGCUGUGGUUAUCUGAUUCGUUGCUGUAGAAAAUAUUAUGGCUAAUAAGGAAUGAAGUCAAAUGGUUCUAGCUUGAAUUGGUCAAAUUUUAAAACUUUUUGGUGGAGGAUUUAAGAAAUUGUCCAGAACUUCAAUUUUAUGUUCAUGAUUCUUAAAUAAAAAUGCAAGGAUUCAUAUAGUA